rnacentral:rRNA from 1 species
GACGAACGCUGGCGGCGUGCUUAACACAUGCAAGUCGAGCGGUAAGGCUCCUUCGGGAGUCCACGAGCGGCGAACGGGUGAGUAACACGUGAGUAAUCCGCCCUUCACUUCGGGAUAACCACCGGAAACGGUGGCUAAUACCGAAUACGACCAGUCUUCGCAUGAGGUGCUGGUGGAAAGUCUUUUCGGUGAAGGAUGUGCUCGCGGCCUAUCAGCUUGUUGGUGGGGUAAUGGCCUACCAAGGCUUCGACGGGUAGCCGGCCUGAGAGGGUGACCGGCCACACUGGGACUGAGACACGGCCCAGACUCCUACGGGAGGCAGCAGUGGGGAAUAUUGGACAAUGGGCGAAAGCCUGAUCCAGCAACGCCGCGUGAGGGAUGACGGCCUUCGGGUUGUAAACCUCUUUCAGUACCGACGAAGCGCCCUGUCGGGUGGUGACGGUAGGUACAGAAGAAGGACCGGCCAACUACGUG